GCGCUAUUAGCUCAGUAGAAAGAGUAUCUGUUUCCGGCGCAGGUGGUCGCGGGUGCAAAUCCCGUAUAGCGCU